rnacentral:rRNA from 1 species
GAUGAACGCUGGCGGCAUGCCUAACACAUGCAAGUCGAUCGGUAAGGCUCUUCGGAGUACACGAGAGGCGGACGGCUGAGUAACGCGUAGGAACACACCCUGCAGUGAGGGAUAAGACACCGAAAGGUGUUCUAAUACCGCAUACGGUCUUCGGAUUAAAGCAUUUAUGCGCUGAAGGAGUGGCCUGCGUCAUAUUAGAUAGUUGGUGAGGUAAUGGCUCACCAAGUCGAUGAUGUGUAGCUGGUCUGAGAGGAUGAUCAGCCAGACUGGAACUGAGACACGGUCCAGACUCCUACGGGAGGCAGCAGUGAGGAAUAUUUCACAAUGAGCGAAAGCUUGAUGGAGCAAUGCCGCGUGCAGGAUGAAGGCCCUCGGGUUGUAAACUGCUUUUAUAAGAGAAGAUUAUGACGGUAACUUAUGAAUAAGGGACGGCUAACUACGUU